AGGGGGAUAACUACUGGAAACGGUAGCUAAUACCGCAUGACCUCGCAAGAGCAAAGUGGGGGACCUUCGGGCCUCACGCCAUCGGAUGUGCCCAGAUGGGAUUAGCUAGUAGGUGAGGUAAUGGCUCACCUAGGCGACGAUCCCUAGCUGGUCUGAGAGGAUGACCAGCCACACUGGAACUGAGACACGGUCCAGACUCCUACGGGAGGCAGCAGUGGGGAAUAUUGCACAAUGGGCGCAAGCCUGAUGCAGCCAUGCCGCGUGUGUGAAGAAGGCCUUAGGGUUGUAAAGCACUUUCAGCGAGGAGGAAGGGUUCAGUGUUAAUAGCACUGNGCAUUGACGUUACUCGCAGAAGAAGCACCGGCUAACUCCGUGCCAGCAGCCGCGGUAAUACGGAGGGUGCAAGCGUUAAUCGGAAUUACUGGGCGUAAAGCGCACGCAGGCGGUUUGUUAAGUCAGAUGUGAAAUCCCCGAGCUUAACUUGGGAACUGCAUUUGAAACUGGCAAGCUAGAGUCUUGUAGAGGGGGGUAGAAUUCCAGGUGUAGCGGUGAAAUGCGUA
rnacentral:rRNA from 1 species